rnacentral:tRNA from 1 species
GGGGGAUUAGUUCAGUUGACAGAACGUCCGGCUUGCACCCGGAAGGUGCGCGGUUUGAAUCCGCGAUCCUCCACCA